rnacentral:tRNA from 2 species
GCGGACGUGGUGGAAUUGGUAGACACGCUAGACUUAGGAUCUAGUGAGAUUAUCUUGUGAGAGUUCGAGUCUCUCCGUCCGCA